rnacentral:rRNA from 1 species
GCACAAGCGGUGGAGCAUGUGGUUUAAUUCGACGCAACGCGAAGAACCUUACCUGGGCUUGACAUGUUGGUGACCGCCGUGGAAACACGGUUUUCCUUCGGGACACCAUCACAGGUGGUGCAUGGCUGUCGUCAGCUCGUGUCGUGAGAUGUUGGGUUAAGUCCCGCAACGAGCGCAACCCCCAUCACUAGUUGCCAUCAGGUAAUGCUGGGAACUCUAGUGAAACUGCCGUCGUAAGACGUGAGGAAGGAGGGGAUGAUGUCAAGUCAUCAUGGCCUUUAUGCCCAGGGCUACACACGUGCUACAAUGGGGGGGACAAAGGGCUGCAACACAGUGAUGUGAAGCUAAUCCCAAAAACCUCCUCUCAGUUCAGAUUGCAGUCUGCAACUCGACUGCAUGAAGCUGGAAUCGCUAGUAAUCGUAUAUCAGCAAUGAUACGGUGAAUACGUUCCCGGGC